GAAUAUUGCCCAAUGGACGCAAGUCUGAGGCAGCAACGCCGCGUGGGCGAUGAAGGCCUUCGGGUUGUAAAGCCCUUUUCUGGGGGAAGAUAAUGACGGUACCUAGACAAGAAGCCCCGGCUAACUUCGUGCCAGCAGCCGCGGUAAUACGAAGGGGGCUAGCGUUGUUCGGAAUUACUGGGCGUAAAGCGCACGUAGGCGGGCCGGCCAGUCAGGGGUGAAAUCCCAGAGCUUAACUCUGGAACUGCCCUUGAUACUGCCGGUCUUGAGGAUGAGAGAGGUGAGUGGAACUGCGAGUGUAGAGGUGAAAUUCGUAGAUAUUCGCAAGAACACCAGUGGCGAAGGCGGCUCACUGGCUCAUUUCUGACGCUGAGGUGCGAAAGCGUGGGGAGCA
rnacentral:rRNA from 1 species